rnacentral:rRNA from 1 species
UUUGAAGCGUGGACGCCAGUCUGCGUGGAGCCGACCUUGAAAUACCACCCUUUAAUGUUUGAUGUUCUAACGUGGACCCGUAAUCCGGGUUGCGGACAGUGUCUGGUGGGUAGUUUGACUGGGGCGGUCUCCUCCUAAAGAGUAACGGAGGAGCACGAAGGUUGGCUAAUCCUGGUCGGACAUCAGGAGGUUAGUGCAAUGGCAUAAGCCAGCUUGACUGCGAGCGUGACGGCGCGAGCAGGUGCGAAAGCAGGUCAUAGUGAUCCGGUGGUUCUGAAUGGAAGGGCCAUCGCUCAACGGAUAAAAGGUACUCCGGGGAUAACAGGCUGAUACCGCCCAAGAGUUCAUAUCGACGGCGGUGUUUGGCACCUCGAUGUCGGCUCAUCACAUCCUGGGGCUGAAGUAGGUCCCAAGGGUAUGGCUGUUCGCCAUUUAAAGUGGUACGCGAGCUGGGUUUAGAACGUCGUGAGACAGUUCGGUCCCUAUCUGCCGUGGGCGCUGGAGAACUGAGGGGGGCUGCUCCUAGUACGAGAGGACCGGAGUGGACGCAUCACUGGUGUUCGGGUUGUCAUGCCAAUGGCACUGCCCGGUAGCUAAAUGCGGAAGAGAUAAGUGCUGAAAGCAUCUAAGCACGAAACUUGCCCCGAGAUGAGUUCUCCCUGAGACUUAGAGUCUCCUGAAGGAACGUUGAAGACGACGACGUUGAUAGGCCGGGUGUGUAAGCGCAGCGAUGCGUUGAGCUAACCGGUACUAAUGAACCGUGAGG